rnacentral:lncRNA from 1 species
AGUGAGGAGAGCCUCUCUGUAUGUUUUCUUUAAAGGGGGUGGUGGGAAUAAGGUUGCAGGUUGAUUGCUCCUGUGCUGUCUGUUGGUCUGAUGCUUGUCCCCGAGUUGCAGUUUAUCUUGGGUCCGAGGUAUGGAGGUGUUUAAUGAUCCUUUGACGGAAUGGGUGUCAUCAUGUUUGAAGUAGAUGGUGUGAGUUAAUGCGUUGCCUUCUAUGUGUG